AACGAACGCUGGCGGCAUGCCUAACACAUGCAAGUCGAACGAGACCUUCGGGUCUAGUGGCGCACGGGUGCGUAACGCGUGGGAACCUGCCCUUAGGUUCGGAAUAACUCCCCGAAAGGGGUGCUAAUACCGGAUAAUGUCUUCGGACCAAAGAUUUAUCGCCUUUGGAUGGGCCCGCGUUGGAUUAGCUAGUUGGUAGGGUAAAAGCCUACCAAGGCGACGAUCCAUAGCUGGUCUGAGAGGAUGAUCAGCCACACUGGGACUGAGACACGGCCCAGACUCCUACGGGAGGCAGCAGUGGGGAAUAUUGGACAAUGGGCGAAAGCCUGAUCCAGCAAUGCCGCGUGAGUGAUGAAGGCCUUAGGGUUGUAAAGCUCUUGUACCCGGGAUGAUAAUGACAGUACCGGGAGAAUAAGCUCCGGCUAACUCCGU
rnacentral:rRNA from 1 species